rnacentral:pre_miRNA from 2 species
GUUUUCAACUGAAAAAGUCAUCAACAAUAAAGUUGUAUAACUCAUCAAGAUAUAUAACUUUUAUUUUGAUCAUUUCUUCAUCCCACAAAGUUAUUUGUAAGAUUGUUCACAAAAUAAACAUCUCUUAUAUAGUUUUUAUAAAACUAUAUAAGAGAUGUACAUUUUGUAAAAAAAUAUUGCAAAUCACUUUGUUGGAAGAAGAAAUGACCAAAAUAGAAGUUAUAGAUCUUGAUGAGUUAUACAACUUUGUUAUUGAUGACUUUUUCAGAUGAAAUC